UCCGAUGUGGUGUAUCGGUAACAUCAUUGUCUCUCAUUCUGAGGACACAAUAGCGCCGGGUUCGACUCCCGGCAUCGGAA